AGAUCUCUAAAUUAUUCCAUUGCAGUUGCCGGACCUCGUAUGAAGAAUUCAGAGUUCAUCCUAACUGUUGUGUUUGCCCUCAUUCUCACACUGACAGUUCUAGGGCUUCUUGUUUACAUUCUCAAUAAAUACAGGAUACAAAGAGCUCAGUAUUCCCACCACCAACUCGAUGACACCUCUUUUGAUACAGUGGACAGAUAUGCUACCCCAGAUGAUACACUUGUAAUAUCAGGAGGUCUAUAUGAUGCACCAAGAAUUUAUAACUCCAGCAUGACAACAUAUGAAGAUGAAGAACUUCAAACAAAUCAUUUACCAUUUAGUGCUCAACCUGGACAAUUCAGACUGGAAUUUUUUGGUGAAAAAGGAAAGGACAUUUCCUUGACUUCUGAAACACUUCAGGUGCUACCAGGAAACUUAUAAUGGUUGUAGAGAGAUUUUUUAAAAAGGAACUUAAGUUAAUAUUGCAACUAUUUUAUUUAUUGAAAGAAAGACCAAUCAAGCUUGAUUCAAAUGAGAAAAUGAAAUUAAAUACACAGAAUCAUUAAAACAAAACAGCUAUUCAAACAUAGCUCUCAAGUGAUUAAAAAUUCUCUGCUACUUGAUGGUACACAAUAUUCGCUUUGAAGUUGUGUUACUGGCAAUUAGUCAAAUCUCCUGUUCCAGUCCAUUCUUGAAUGAAAAUUCACUAACCUAGAAAACACCUAGUUGUCUUUGAUGUUCAACUAUACGUGCAGCUCAGUAUAUUGGAGAAAACUGGCAUAUGGCUCAGCUGAGCUCUCUUCUCUCCUUUCCCCUCCCUCUGAGCAGAACUAAAUGCACCCAACAGUCCUUCCCCACUGGAUACAGCAGGGAAGAAAAAGGGCUUUAUCAAGUGCUGUCCUAAUCUGCUCCCACAGACCACAACUGCACCAGCAUGAGGGGGGAUCGUGCUGUAUUAUUCAGGGGGAAACAACAUCUUGAAUUAAACUUUUUGAAUUAUUUUGAAUUAAAGCUUUUCAACACAAUAAGAACAUGCAACUUAAAAAUAAAUACUGUAACAAAAUGUAACAAAAGCAGAACUGCAUUCAAGUAUGAUAAUAAAUUCAGCAGUUACACAAGCAAUAAAUUUUGUAUCUAUGCAAAAA